AGCGGGAAGGACGUCAAGCGAGCACAAGACAUAAGUUAAGUAGUAACACGUAAGGCUAUCAUCGAAGGUCGACGACUCGUGGUCGUGAUAUUAACUUCUUUUGAACUGCAAAAGUCCACUAGGGGGUGCUCGCCGCGAUGGUGGUAUAGAGUAGGUGACAAAACGACAGAGGAAGAAAUCCUGAAAACGUCAAGUCAUCUUGGAUUGUCUUCCUUAUUCUGUACCACAGGAGGUGAUGCUUUCCCGAUGGAUGGUACCUGCUGUUUUCUGCUGCCCUGCCAUUUUUUCUGCCAUCCUGUAUUCCGGGCCGGGCCUGCUGAGUGACACCGCCUUGUCUUGCCUUGCUUUUGGAUGUUAAGUAUGCUGACAUCAAAGAGAUUAUCUGAAAACUACAUAUCCACAUGUGCGCGGGUUUCCCUAGCCACUCUCAAGGAUUCUUUUUCCCUGACGGAUCCCUUCUCCAUGGCAAGCAGUAGUUUGGAUAUUUUGGCCAGCUGCGUUGUCACCUCUGGAAGCCUGUAGUAUUCUCUGUGGACACGAAUAUCAUGGCCGAGGAAGUCAGCAACUUGGUCCAGUUCAUGGUUUUUGAGGUUCAGGACCUGGGACAACGUUGCAACAUGUUUGCGUAACUGGGUUGACCUCAGGAGUUCUGGGUUCUGAGCACCACAUUCCCUAAACAAGUCCCUAAACAAUCCUGUCCUCUGUAAGAAGUUAAACAGUGGGGCCUUCCAAACGAAAAAUUGUUCUCCUCUGGAACUCCACAUUCCUUCCGUUUUGUGAAGAGAAGUGUCAAUGAAUCAACCAUGUCCGGUGAUAGCAACACAGCAACUUUUCGUCCUCUUUUAGCCCUAAUUUCCCACAGAGUUUUUGUUCAAACUUUGUGAGGCCAACGGCAACAUCCUUAUGGAGGGGCGUUCUGUCUCUGCAGAGGAAGCUGUUUAAUUGCAUUUUUGAAACUUCCCCUCCACGUCUUCGGUGGAAUAGUAUGAUCUUUGCCAAAGUUGCUCUGCAAAGUUCACCAUACACUUGUGGCGAAGGCAUUUUUCCCAGGUUCUCAGAUGCCAAAUCUGUUGUCUUUUCAAGAUGUUGAUGAAGACAGGCAGAGUGGAUGGCUUGUUAAGGGUGUGGUCAAAGCAGUGUGAGAGACAAGUUCAGACCACUUGGUUUCUCCUAGUUUUGCCAGACAUUUUUGAAGAUGUCACCACAGAUGCCUCCGAAGAUACAAAGCAUGGCAAUACAUACAGUGCACAUAAUGUUUUACAUCUUGCUCAUUCUUGGGUUUUUGUUUCAUUUUCAGUACUCCAGUCCCACACACACACACCAUAUUUCUGUAUGCUACCAUAUAAUUGUACAGGUUUAAAUUAUCACACACAUUCACAUAUUGUAUUUAUAAGCAGAGGAAAACCCUGAUGCGUUACAAUGGUAACCCCACGCCAAAAGGAGACGAAAAAAAUCACACCCUUUUCUUGCUCUGAUUUGGGGGCUGGGUCGGUAGAAGCAUCCUUCAAAGCUUGAAGGCUGAAAGGCAUUUUGAAAGGAGCUAUGAGAGGACAGGAUGAUCCUCCACCCUUUGCAGUAGCGGAAUUGGUUAUUUUUGUUUCAAUCAGUCACACUGUAAAAUAAAUACGGUGAAUUUCACACAUUGAGUCUGAAAAAUCUUGUGCUUUCAUCCUCCUCAAUGUAUUCAUUGAGGUGUACCCCAGGGUUCAAUGCUGUUACCAACAUUGUUUAUGUCCAAGGUUUCCAAAGUGGAGUACACAAAUUGUCAUGGGCCUACACAAAUAAAAACGUAGGGGUGCUCUGAUUGAUCGGUCUUACUUACCAAUACUUACUUUGAAACACCGAUCACCUCUGCUGAUCAGCUGCAGCUCAGUGUCCACUGCAGCCUUCAGAAAAAACAUGUCUGCCGUGUAUGAGGACGUUGAUGACAGACAAGUGCUGGCAUUUUCUCUCCUCUCCGGGCACAGAAGAGGCUGCAGUUCAGAAGGCAGCGAAUGCGGUUGUAAAGGCGUAGCAUAGGCGGGCAAACCUGCUUUUCAUUCAGGUUUUUAAGUUAAGAAUGUGAGAAGACAAGAAAUAAAUGUAUUGUGAAAUACUGUGGAUACAAGCAUUUUGUUUAUGUUCUGAUAAAACAAGCAUAUUGGCUUUGUUUGGCUUGAAAUAAGCUAUAAAUAAGCUAAGCACUGUUUAUGUUAUAAAAAUGAGUGGCUCUUGACCAUUUUCAUUUUGUAAAUGUAGCUCUCAAAAGAAAACAAACUUGGUAGCCAGGAGUAAAUUUAAAUGUGUAUAAUGUAUGUGACCGGUAUUGGUAUCCGUAUCAGCAUCGGCCAAUUUCACUCAUGCAUUAUCGCAAUCGGUAUCAGCAGCAUAAAACUCUGAUAUGGAUCGGAUGCACAACCUUGAAGAUAGCACCUUUUGUUUGAACCCACCCCGUUUUUUAUGUGAACAAAAGUAUCAGAACAUGUGAUUUACCAAUGUAUUUUGUUACCCAGGUGUGUCCUAUUACAUUACGUAUUCCAUCAAUAAAUAUCACUUAUUGUCUACACUCAGUUUCAGAUUGGUCUGGAUAGUUUUUGUCUUUUGGUCAUGGCUGAAAAACAAUGUGAAUCUGGGAGAAAAUAGAAAAUCAAUCAGGACUGUUGCACAAACAUUGGCCUUAGCCAUUACAACCAUUUGGAAUGGUACAACAAAGGAAAACAUCAGACAUUGGUGACAGAAGCAUUGUAAGCGCCGCAGUAAAGAAACACCUUAAAACAACUGCUGGUGUCAUCAUCGACAACAUCUAGAGGGCAGGAGCGAAGGUAUCACUAUCUCCUGUUCAAGGAAAACUUGCGAACCACUCAUGAGCACGAAUAGGAAGAUCAGGCUGGAAUUUGCCAACAAAAAAAUAAAGAUAUAGCCUACAACAUGAAUUUGUCUUGCAAUUGUUUCAUUUAGUUUUCUUACCAUCAAACAACACAGUUGACAGAUCAAUAUUGAAGUCUCCACAUGUGAAAAUUGAUUUUUGACUAUUGUCUAUGAAAGCUGUUUUGAUGCAACCCUCAAACAUUUCUCUCCUUGAAUUUGGAGUUCUGUAUCGGCAACUUAUUGUAUGUUUUGCUUUUUUCUUUACAGAUGUCAAUGGUAAUACAUUCUAAAAUAUUGUCAAUGGCAGUUGACAUGUUCUUUACCACUUUAUAGUUCAGUUGUUUGUCCACACACAGCAACGACUCCUCCCCCCGUGUCGUUCCUGUUGAUGCAGGUCAUCUUGUAACCCUCCAGCUCAAAGUCAUAAUAAUAAUAAAUCCAAAUAAUAAAUCAUACCACAUGAUACUGGCAAAUACUGGCAUUAAUUACAGGUUAAUUACACAUUAAUUACAUGACAUAUUCAGCCCAAAUGUCCCUGUCACUACAGAUGCAAAAAUGUAGUUUGUUGAUGCCUGUGAAACAGUGGGCCAUGACUGACAAGGACAAUUACAUGGUUAGGGGACCUGGUUGCCCAUAAAGUAGAGUGGCUAAGAAAGGGUACAUUCUUAUUCUUCUAUUCUACAAUCAAAAGCAGUAUUGUUUUCUCAGACAGUCUGGAGGUGUGAAUGCAAUUUGUAAUGCAGUGAGCCUACUGAGCAACUAACAAGUGCAGGCAAAAAAAAUCACUGUCUGCUAAAAUGAGCACAACUUUAGAGCUUGUUUGGCAUCUUCUGAGUUCAUAUUGUGAGUGAACCCUUUGCAGCAGCAUGUUUGAAAUCCCACCAUGCCUCACUUCAUUCUCAUCCGACACAAUGAUUGUCAUCAUCAUCUGAUGAAAACGGAUUAGAUGAUAAACGGGUUUAGAAUGGAAGAGUGCUUGAAUGUUCAAGAGGAACAGACACGCUUCAUUAAAAUUACGCGAGACAGCAAACUACAGAUACAGAUUACUAAUUAAAUCAGCAAAACAUAACGUGCUUCUGAGAGGAGGCAGCUGAUUGAGUUUAAGUUGAACUACAUCAAAGAGAAUGCACUGAUAAAAGCAUCAAGUAUUACCAAGCUAUCUUGAACCCCUGAAUUAGAAGUUGAGGAGAGACAGAAGAAGGGUAACAAGUAUGGUUUUUAUGCACAAUAUUGUCAUAGAUUUACAGAUUUACGUACUGUAUGUAUUGUCAAGGGCUGUUAAACUGACAUACCACCUGAAAGUGAAGGGAGGAUCAGAAGGAUGAUUUUGGAAGGACAAGUAUCACUAUCCUUAUGAUGCCACAAUGUCAACAAAUUUAGCUACGUAGAAAAAUUGUGUUUUAAUGGCCAAAUACAGUUAAAAGUUUUUUUUCAGCCUCACUUGCGGAAGGUAAUCACGUGGGCUCUUGUUUGGCCUGUAAACCAGUUGGAAAAAUUCCAUGCAGAACUUGAAUUAGGCAUCUUCCCCGUUCUCUCUUGGCACACCCAAUUUGGCAGUGAUGGCGACGUAUGAUUGGGUGCUCAAUAUGGCGUCUACAUCACCCGAGUUUCCAAGUUCUUCGGAGUUUGCGAGCCAGCAUCUCAGACUGGAACAGUGGAAAGGAGUAGGAAGAAGCUUUGCAGCUAAUAGCUUAGAAAAUACACAGUUACACAGUUCAAAAGAACAGGAGGUCACUAACCCAAACAACUAUCUCACUCAAGCUGCAAAUAACAAUAACACAACACCACAGGAUGUGUCUCCCAAGGGUCAUGCUCCAUGGAGAAUCAGCCAAUAUCAUGAAUGGAAACUGAUAAAACCAAGGGUCGGACACCAGCUGGAGCCAACAAAGCCUAUCCAAAAUAUACCAGCAUAAAUGCAAAACCACACUCUCUUCUAGGCAUGAUAGGAAACCCACAUAACUUUUUCUAACAUGCAUACAAGGUUGCAUUGCAUGUAAAAUCUGACCUUAAAUAUGCACAUGGAAAGAAGCAAGAUUCGUACCUUAGCUUGACAAAAUAUUCUGUCUGUGGACCUAUUUUUAAUUUUCGUUCAAUACCCCUAACUUAGUCGUCUCAUAAUACAGUGGAGCCUUGGUUAACAACAUUAAUCAACCCAUUAAUCCAAGCGAAAUUGGACUCAAUCAAAUUUUAACAUAGGAAAUAAUGUAAAUUCUAUUAAUCUGUUCCGGACACCCAAAAAUGUUAACACAAAACACAUUUUAUGGACAAUAACUAUAGAUUUACAUGCAGAAAAUGAUGCAAAACUAAUUGCAAAUGACCAAUGAAUGCCCAACUGAACAUUUAA